rnacentral:rRNA from 1 species
UUAAGUGAAUAAGGGCGCACGGUGGAUGCCUUGGCACUAGGAGCCGAUGAAGGACGGGACUAACACCGAUAUGCUUUGGGGAGCUGUACGUAAGCUAUGAUCCAGAGAUUUCCGAAUGGGGGAACCCAGCAUCUUUAAUAGGAUGUUACGAUUGUGUGAAUACAUAGCACAUUCGAGGUAGACGCAGAGAACUGAAACAUCUAAGUACCUGCAGGAAGAGAAAGAAAAUUCGAUUCCCUGAGUAGCGGCGAGCGAAACGGGAAAAGCCCAAACCAGCAAGCUUGCUUGUUGGGGUUGUAGGACUCCAAUAUGGUAGUUCUUUCAGAUAGUCGAAUGACUUGGAAAAGUCAGUCAAAGAGGGUAAAAACCCCGUAGACGAAAUGUGGAAGACACCUAGGAGGAUCCUGAGUACGGCGGAACACGAGAAAUUCCGUCGGAAUCCGGGAGGACCAUCUCCCAAGGCUAAAUACUCCCUAGUGACCGAUAGUGAACCAGUACCGUGAGGGAAAGGUGAAAAGCACCCCGGAAGGGGAGUGAAAUAGAACCUGAAACCGUGUGCCUACAACAAGUCAAAGCCCGUUAAUGGGUGAUGGCGUGCCUUUUGUAGAAUGAACCGGCGAGUUACGAUUGCAUGCGAGGUUAAGUUGAAGAGACGGAGCCGCAGCGAAAGCGAGUCUGAAUAGGGCGUUUGAGUAUGUAGUCGUAGACCCGAAACCAUGUGAUCUACCCAUGUCCAGGUUGAAGGUGCGGUAAAACGCACUGGAGGACCGAACCCACGUACGUUGAAAAGUGCGGGGAUGAGGUGUGGGUAGCGGAGAAAUUCCAAACGAACUUGGAGAUAGCUGGUUCUCUCCGAAAUAGCUUUAGGGCUAGCCUCGGAAUUGAGAAUGAUGGAGGUAGAGCACUGUUUGGACUAGGGGCCCAUCUCGGGUUACCGAAUUCAGAUAAACUCCGAAUGCCAUUCAUUCAUAUCCGGGAGUCAGACUGUGAGUGAUAAGAUCCAUAGUCGAAAGGGAAACAGCCCAGACCACCAGCUAAGGUCCCAAAAUAUAUGUUAAGUGGAAAAGGAUGUGGGGUUGCACAGACAACUAGGAUGUUGGCUUAGAAGCAGCCAUCAUUUAAAGAGUGCGUAAUAGCUCACUAGUCGAGUGACCCUGCGCCGAAAAUGUACCGGGGCUAAACAUAUUACCGAAGCUGUGGAGUACACCUUUAGGUGUAUUGGUAGGAGAGCGUUCUAAGGGCGUUGAAGGCAGAUCGUGAGGACUGCUGGAGCGCUUAGAAGUGAGAAUGCCGGUAUGAGUAGCGAAAGACAGGUGAGAAUCCUGUCCACCGAAUGACUAAGGUUUCCUGGGGAAGGCUCGUCCGCUCAGGGUUAGUCGGGACCUAAGCCGAGGCCGACAGGCGUAGGCGAUGGAUAACAGGUUGAUAUUCCUGUACCCGUUGUUUUUGUUUGAGCAAUGGAGGGACGCAGGAGGCUAAGGAAUGCAGACGAUCGGAAAUGUCUGUCCAAGCAGUAAGUCUGAAGAGGAGUCAAAUGCUUCUUUUCUUAAGGACAAGCUGUGAUGGGGAGGGAAAUAAUAGUACCGAAGUUCCUGAUGUCACACUGCCGAGAAAAGCUUCUAGUGAGAAAACAGCGGCCCGUACCGCAAACCGACACAGGUAGUCGAGGAGAGAAUCCUAAGGUGAGCGAGAGAACUCUCGUUAAGGAACUCGGCAAAAUGACCCCGUAACUUCGGGAGAAGGGGUGCUGAUCAUACGAUCAGCCGCAGUGAAUAGGCCCAAGCGACUGUUUAUCAAAAACACAGGUCUCUGCAAAAUCGUAAGAUGAAGUAUAGGGGCUGACGCCUGCCCGGUGCUGGAAGGUUAAGAGGAGUGCUUAGCGCAAGCGAAGGUACGAAUUGAAGCCCCAGUAAACGGCGGCCGUAACUAUAACGGUCCUAAGGUAGCGAAAUUCCUUGUCGGGUAAGUUCCGACCCGCACGAAAGGCGUAACGAUUUGGGCACUGUCUCAACGAGAGACUCGGUGAAAUUUUAGUACCUGUGAAGAUGCAGGUUACCCGCGACAGGACGGAAAGACCCCAUGGAGCUUUACUGUAGUUUGAUAUUGAGUGUCUGUACCGCAUGUACAGGAUAGGUAGGAGCCGUAGAAAUCGGAACGCUAGUUUCGAUGGAGGCGCUGGUGGGAUACUACCCCUGCGUUAUGGCCACUCUAACCCGCACCACUAAUCGUGGUGGGAGACAGUGUCAGAUGGGCAGUUUGACUGGGGCGGUCGCCUCCUAAAAGGUAACGGAGGCGCCCAAAGGUUCCCUCAGAAUGGUUGGAAAUCAUUCGAAGAGUGUAAAGGCAGAAGGGAGCUUGACUGCGAGACCAACAAGUCGAGCAGGGACGAAAGUCGGGCUUAGUGAUCCGGUGGUUCCGCAUGGAAGGGCCAUCGCUCAACGGAUAAAAGCUACCCUGGGGAUAACAGGCUUAUCUCCCCCAAGAGUCCACAUCGACGGGGAGGUUUGGCACCUCGAUGUCGGCUCGUCGCAUCCUGGGGCUGUAGUCGGUCCCAAGGGUUGGGCUGUUCGCCCAUUAAAGCGGCACGCGAGCUGGGUUCAGAACGUCGUGAGACAGUUCGGUCCCUAUCCGUCGCGGGCGUUGGAAAUUUGAGAGGAGCUGUCCUUAGUACGAGAGGACCGGGAUGGACUUACCGCUGGUGUACCAGUUGUUCUGCCAAGGGCAUUGCUGGGUAGCUAUGUAGGGAAGGGAUAAACGCUGAAAGCAUCUAAGUGUGAAGCCCACCUCAAGAUGAGAUUUCCCAUUUCUUUAAGAAAGUAAGAUCCCUGAGAGAUGAUCAGGUAGAUAGGUCAGGAGUGGAAGUACAGUGAUGUAUGGAGCGGACUGAUACUAAUCGAUCGAGGACUUAACCAA